UUAUUGAUUAUAAUUUAUACGUUCGUUACACUAUUGUUUGUAGGUCCGGAGACCACGGUGCACAGGUGUUUGGAUAUGAAGAGCCGGAGCUCAAAUCACUAAUGAUCCUUCCGCAGGUUCACCUACGGAAA
rnacentral:misc_RNA from 1 species